rnacentral:rRNA from 1 species
UCGAUGCAACGCGAAGAACCUUACCAAGGCUUGACAUGGACUAGUAACGGUCAGAGAUGAUCGCCCCUCUUUGAGGCUGGUUCACAGGUGGUGCAUGGUUGUCGUCAGCUCGUGUCGUGAGAUGUUGGGUUAAGUCCCGCAACGAGCGCAACCCUCGUUCCAUGUUGCCAGCACGUAAUGGUGGGGACUCGUGGGAGACUGCCGGGGUCAACUCGGAGGAAGGUGGGGACGACGUCAAAUCAUCAUGCCCCUUAUGUCUUGGGCUUCACGCAUGCUACAAUGGCCGGUACAAAGGGUUGCGAUACUGUGAGGUGGAGCUAAUCCCAAAAAGCCGGUCUCAGUUCGGAUCGUGGUCUGCAACUCGACCACGUGAAGUUGGAGUCGCUAGUAAUCGCAGAUCAGCAACGCUGCGGUGAAUACGUUCCCGGGCCUUGUACACACCGCCCGUCAAGUCACGAAAGUUGGUAACACCCGAAGCCGAUGGCCUAACCCCUUGUGGGAGGGAGUCGUCGAAGGUGGGACGAGCGAUUGGGACUAAGUCGUAACAAGGUAGCCGUACCGGAAGGUGCGGCUGG